rfam:Hordeum vulgare subsp. vulgare, WGS project CAJW01000000 data, contig: morex_contig_44127
AGUGUAGAUGAAGAAGAAGUGGUCUUCCACAUCCUUAAUGGACUCGAUGAGGAGUUCGAUCCGGUGGUUUCGGCCAUGUGCUCUCGGGUUGAGCCCGUCAGGGUCCCGGAGUUGUACUCACAACUCCUCAGCUUUGAGA